AGAGACUCUAAGAACUGCACUGGAAUUGGAUCCACACUCUGAACUUGACCAAAAGCUGCGGAAGCACAUAAUGAAAAACCUUUUGAAGAAGAUUGAUGAAGGCCAGCCUAUAGAGUAUGUAUCUGAAUUCCGUACGAUGACUCUGGUUUUGGUCAGCCUAGAGUUCCACAGGACAGCGUGGAUGUUGCAUUUGUGUCAUCUUAUCCAGGAGGCUGCCUUAUACAUCUCCACAGUCAUUGAGAAAGGGGGUGGCCAGCUGAGUCGCAUCUUUAUGUUUGAGAAAGGCUGCAUGUUCCUCUGUGUUUUCGGCCUUCCUGGUGAUAAGAAGCCAGACGAGUGUGCACAUGCCCUGGAGAGCUCCUUCAGCAUCUUCAGCUUCUGCUGGGAGAAUCUUGCUAAGACCAAGUGAGGAGGAAGGUGGGGCAGAGAGGGGCUUCUCAGGCCCCAGGGGCUCUUCAGGCAGGGUAGGAGGCAGUAACAAGU
rnacentral:lncRNA from 1 species